rnacentral:rRNA from 1 species
CGAUAGCGAACAAGUAGAGUGAUCGAAAGAUGAAAAGCACUUUGAAAAGAGAGUUAAAAAGUACGUGAAAUUGUUGAAAGGGAAGCGUUUAUGACCAGACUUGGGCUUGGUUAAUCAUCUGGGGUUCUCCCCAGUGCACUUUUCCAGUCCAGGCCAGCAUCAGUUUUCCCCGGGGGAUAAAGGCGGCGGGAAUGUGGCUCUCUUCGGGGAGUGUUAUAGCCCACCGUGUAAUACCCUGGGGGGGACUGAGGUUCGCGCAUCUGCAAGGAUGCUGGCGUAAUGGUCAUCAACGACCCGUCUUGAAACACGGAC